GGGAAACUCGGAUUAAUACCCCAUGGUCCCGCAAGGUAAAGAUGGCUUCGGCUGUCGCUGCAGGAUUGGCUCGCGGCCUAUCAGCUUGUUGGUAAGGUAACGGCUUACCAAGGCGACGACGGGUAGCUGGUCUGAGAGGACGAUCAGUCACACUGGAACUGAGACACGGUCCAGACACCUACGGGUGGCAGCAGUCGAGAAUCAUUCACAAUGGGGGCAACCCUGAUGGUGCAACGCCGCGUGGAGGAUGAAGGUCCUCGGAUUGUAAACUCCUGUCAUCUGGGAGUAAGACCUGGGAGUCAAUAGCUCACAGGGUUGAUAGUACCAGAAGAGGAAGGGACGGCUAACUUCGUGCCAGCAGCCGCGGUAAUACGAAGGUCCCAAGCGUUGUUCGGAAUCACUGGGCGUAAAGGGUGCGUAGGCGGUAUGGUAAGUCAGAUGUGAAAUCCCAGGGCUCAACCCUGGAACUGCAUCCGAUACUGCCGUACUUGAGGACGGAGAGGAGACUGGAAUUCUCGGUGUAGCAGUGAAAUGCGUAAAUAUCGAGAGGAACACUCGUGGCGAAAGCGAGUCUCUGGACGGAUCCUUGACGCUUAAGCACGAAAGGCCAGGGUAGCGAAAGGGAUUAGAUACCCCUGUAGU
rnacentral:rRNA from 1 species